rnacentral:rRNA from 1 species
CCUACGGGUGGCAGCAGUGGGGAAUAUUGCACAAUGGGCGCAAGCCUGAUGCAGCCAUGCCACGUGUGUGAAGAAGGCCUUCGGGUUGUAAAGCACUUUCAGCGGGGAGGAAGGCGGUGAGGUUAAUAACCUCAUCGAUUGACGUUACCCGCAGAAGAAGCGCCGGCCAACUCCGUGCCAGCAGCCGCGGUAAUACGGAGGGUGCAAGCGUUAAUCGGAAUUACUGGGCGUAAAGCGCACGCAGGCGGUCUGUCAAGUCGGAUGUGAAAUCCCCGGGCUCAACCUGGGAACUGCAUUCGAAACUGGCAGGCUAGAGUCUUGUAGAGGGGGGUAGAAUUCCAGGUGUAGCGGUGAAAUGCGUAGAGAUCUGGAGGAAUACCGGUGGCGAAGGCGGCCCCCUGGACAAAGACUGACGCUCAGGUGCGAAAGCGUGGGGAGCAAACAGGAUUAGAUACCCUAGUAGUC